AAGGGAUGGUGGUCGUGUAGUUGGCUAGCGUGUAGGUCUCAUAGCUUCGAGUUAUCUUGAGGUCGAGAGUUUGAGCCUCUCUCACCCCACCAUCUUUUUUUUAUGCUAACAAU